UGGGGAAUAUUGCACAAUGGGCGAAAGCCUGAUGCAGCAACGCCGCGUGAGUGAUGAAGGUCUUCGGAUUGUAAAGCUCUGUCUUUUGGGACGAUAAUGACGGUACCAAAGGAGGAAGCCACGGCUAACUACGUGCCAGCAGCCGCGGUAAUACGUAGGUGGCGAGCGUUGUCCGGAUUUACUGGGCGUAAAGGGUGCGUAGGCGGAUGUUUAAGUGAGAUGUGAAAUACCCGGGCUUAACUUGGGUGCUGCAUUUCAAACUGGAUAUCUAGAGUGCAGGAGAGGAGAAUGGAAUUCCUAGUGUAGCGGUGAAAUGCGUAGAGAUUAGGAAGAACACCAGUGGCGAAGGCGAUUCUCUGGACUGUAACUGACGCUGAGGCACGAAAGCGUGGGUAGCAAACAGGAUUAGAUACCCUGGUAGUCCACGCCGUAAAACGAUGAGUACUAGGUGUAGGAGGUAUCGACCCCUUCUGUGCCGCAGUAAACACAUUAAGUACUCCGCCUGGGAAGUACGAUCGCAAGAUUAAAAACUCUAAAGUGAAUUGAC
rnacentral:rRNA from 1 species